rnacentral:rRNA from 1 species
CGAGUUUGAUCCUGGCUCAGAGCGAACGCUGGCGGCAGGCUCAACACAUGCAAGUCGAGCGGGCGUAGCAAUACGUCAGCGGCAGACGGGUGAGUAACGCGUGGGAACGUACCUUUUGGUUCGGAACAACCCAGGGAAACUUGGGCUAAUACCGGAUAAGCCCUUACGGGGAAAGAUUUAUCGCCGAAAGAUCGGCCCGCGUCUGAUUAGCUAGUUGGUGAGGUAACGGCUCACCAAGGCGACGAUCAGUAGCUGGUCUGAGAGGAUGAUCAGCCACAUUGGGACUGAGACACGGCCCAAACUCCUACGGGAGGCAGCAGUGGGGAAUAUUGGACAAUGGGCGCAAGCCUGAUCCAGCCAUGCCGCGUGAGUGAUGAAGGCCCUAGGGUUGUAAAGCUCUUUUGUGCGGGAAGAUAAUGACUGUACCGCAAGAAUAAGCCCGGCUAACUUCGUG